rnacentral:rRNA from 1 species
UGGGGAAUAUUGCACAAUGGGGGAAACCCUGAUGCAGCAACGCCGCGUGAGUGAUGACGGCCUUCGGGCUGUAAAGCUCUGUCUUCAGGGACGAUAAUGACGGUACCUGAGGAGGAAGCCACGGCUAACUACGUGCCAGCAGCCGCGGUAAUACGUAGGUGGCAAGCGUUGUCCGGAUUUACUGGGCGUAAAGGGAGCGUAGGCGGACUUUUAAGUGAGAUGUGAAAUACCCGGGCUCAACCUGGGUGCUGCAUUUCAAACUGGAAGUCUAGAGUGCAGGAGAGGAGAGUGGAAUUCCUAGUGUAGCGGUGAAAUGCGUAGAGAUUAGGAAGAACACCAGUGGCGAAGGCGACUCUCUGGACUGUAACUGACGCUGAGGCUCGAAAGCGUGGGGAGCAAACA